rnacentral:rRNA from 1 species
GACGAACCGAGCGAACGUUGUUCGGAAUCACUGGGCUUAAAGGGCGCGUAGGCGGCCUUCUAAGUCAGACGUGAAAUCCCUCGGCUCAACCGGGGAACUGCGUCUGAUACUGGAUGGCUUGAGUUUGGGAGAGGGAUGCGGAAUUCCAGGUGUAGCGGUGAAAUGCGUAGAUAUCUGGAGGAACACCGGUGGCGAAGGCGGGUCUCUGGGCCGAUACUGACGCUGAGGAGCGAAAGCGUGGGGAGCGAACAGG